rnacentral:rRNA from 1 species
UAGGGAAUCUUCGGCAAUGGACGAAAGUCUGACCGAGCAACGCCGCGUGAGUGAAGAAGGUUUUCGGCUCGUAAAACUCUGUUGUUAGAGAAGAACAAGGACGUUAGUAACUGAACGUCCCCUGACGGUAUCUAACCAGAAAGCCACGGCUAACUACGUGCCAGCAGCCGCGGUAAUACGUAGGUGGCAAGCGUUGUCCGGAUUUAUUGGGCGUAAAGCGAGCGCAGGCGGUUUCUUAAGUCUGAUGUGAAAGCCCCCGGCUCAACCGGGGAGGGUCAUUGGAAACUGGGAGACUUGAGUGCAGAAGAGGGGAGUGGAAUUCCAUGUGUAGCGGUGAAAUGCGUAGCUAUAUGGAGGAACACCAGUGGCGAAGGCGGCUCUCUGGUCUGUAACUGACGCUGAGGCUCGAAAGCGUGGGGAGCAAACAGG